rnacentral:rRNA from 1 species
ACUCAAAUGAAUUGACGGGGGCCCGCACAAGCAGUGGAGCAUGUGGUUUAAUUCGAUGCAACGCGAAGAACCUUACCUGGGCUUGAACUGUAGAGGAAGAUGCUAGAAACAGCAUCGCCGCAAGGCCGCUACAGAGGUGCUGCAUGGCUGUCGUCAGCUCGUGCCGUGAGGUGUUUGGUUAAGUCCAGCAACGAGCGCAACCCUUAUCGUUAGUUGCCAGCGAGUGAUGUCGGGAACUCUAACGAGACUGCCUAGGUCAACUAGGAGGAAGGUGAGGAUGACGUCAAGUCCGCAUGGCCUUUAUGUCCAGGGCUACACACGUGCUACAAUGGCCAGUACAAAAGGUUGCCAAGCCGCGAGGUGGAGCUAAUCCUAUAAAGCUGGUCCCAGUUCGGAUUGCAGUCUGCAACUCGACUGCAUGAAGUUGGAAUUGCUAGUAAUGGCGUGUCAGCUACAACGCCGUGAAUACGUUCCCGGGCCUUGUACACACCGCCCGU